CGGACAGGAUGUGAUAUCGACCGCAAUUUGUAUAUAAACAUGUGUUUAUAUCGUUUCUACACACAUUUCUGAAAGCGACAUAAGAUACCAUGAGGUACGCGAUUGUUGUAGCGGUGUUCCUUUGCCUUGCUAUGUCCGGUUUGGACAUAGUGACAGUGUCUGCACAAUGUCCCAAUGGUAGGGAGGAAAACGGCCCAUGCGAACCGCCAUGGGUCGCUCAAGAACUAUGUAGCCCUGGAUUCGAGUGCGUGAACGAGAUUUGUUGCAAAUCCGCCAAUACAUCUGAGACUACAAGGACACCAAUUCCGGUCGACGAAUGUGGCAAAUAGGCAGUGCGAACAGGAAGCUGUUCAAAAGCUGAUCAACGAUGUCCAGCCGGAGGUUCAUGUAGAGCCCCGGGGAUUUGCUGCAAGCGAAGAAACUGAUUGAGAUUUAUAAAUAUUUUCUGAAUUACAUGGACAGAAUUGUAAAGUGCAGUAGCUGAUCAAUGGACAAUUAAGGAAAAAGUGUGAUAUUGUUGACACGAAUUAUGUUAACGUCUUGCUGAUUAGUUUGAUUGAAAUAUAGUUUUCUCGCUUUUUGCUACAGUUUCUGUAAAAUGUGUAAUUUAACACACACGUUUUUGAUAUGAUACGAUUGCUAAAUAUGGUCAUAAUGUGCCAUACAAAAAUAUUUAGACCUGU